UACGUAGGGGGCUAGCGUUGUCCGGAAUCAUUGGGCGUAAAGCGCGCGUAGGCGGCCAGAUAAGUCCGGUGUGAAAGCCCCCGGCUCAAACUGGGGGAGGGUCACGCGAUACUGGUCGACUCGAAGGCAGGAGAGGGUAGUGGAAUUCCCGGUGUAGUGGUGAAAUGCGUAGAUAUCGGGAGGAACACCAGUGGCGAAGGCGACUACCUGGCCUGUUCUUGACGCUGAGGCGCGAAAGCCAGGGGAGCAAACGGG
rnacentral:rRNA from 1 species